rnacentral:lncRNA from 1 species
CAUGGGUUAUUGGUGUUGAAGUAAUGGUUUGGCUCUUGAUAGUGUCAUGUAUAAUGUGCUUCUUCAAAUUUUGGUACACAAUAACCAUUGGCGUGACCUCUACCAUAAAAAUCACAUCAUAGGGUCCUGACCGAAUUAACAUUUACUUGAACUCAAAUUGAGGCAGCGAAUUAGUUUGAUACUGCUUUAAGUUAUGUUAUCAGAGCAAGUUGAGAGUCAGCUCCAUUAUACAUGUCUUCCUAUACCUCGCAUAAACAAUAAAAAAAAAUACCUUAGUAGCACUAAACUAAAUGAUAAAAACUAAAUAAGAAUAAAAAUUUGGAAACUAGAAUAAAGUUAAAUACUACAAAAAU